rnacentral:rRNA from 1 species
CGCAGCCGCGGUAAUUCCAGCUCCAAUAGCGUAUAUUAAAGUUGUUGCAGUUAAAAAGCUCGUAGUUGAACUUCGGGGUCUACCCAUUGGUCAGGCUUAAUUGUCUGCACUGGUGAGGUGGAUCUCUACCUUCUGAGGAACUUUCAUGCCAUUUAUUUGGUGUGGUUGGAAAUCAGGACUGUUACUUUGAGAAAAUUAGAGUGUUUAAAGCAGACUAUCGUCUGAAUACAUUAGCAUGGAAUAAUGAAAUAGGACGGACUGAUUCUAUUUCGUUGGUUUCUAGGAUCACCGUAAUGAUUAAUAGGGAUAGUUGGGGGCAUUAGUAUUCAAUUGCCAGAGGUGAAAUUCUUGGAUUUAUUGAAGACUAACUACUGCGAAAGCAUUUGCCAAGGAUGUUUUCAUUAAUCAAGAACGAAAGUUAGGGGAUCGAAGACGAUCAGAUACCGUCGU